AGGGUUACAUCCUUUGUUGUUAUGAGUAGCAAACAAAGAAAGCAAUGGAAAAGAGUCAGUAUUGGAGAGUUGAAAGUCCAAGUUUGACUAAGAAAACGAGUUUUUCAGCUGAGACCAUUAACCAGUAGAAUGCUGACCAAGUCCACUUCACUUUGUGAAGUUAUUAUUGGUUAAUGUCUUAAUGAUAGUAGGGUCUCUGUUCUUCCAAGCAAUGAUUUGAUUGAAGAUUAAAACUUCUAGAGUUCCUAUGAAGAGAAGAUGGGACCGGAGAAUAUUCAAAUCUCAUUCCGCGUGGUUUGUUUGGUUUGGCCCCUUUACUAUCAUUACUUUCGAUUACUGAAAAGAAUGAGGGAAAAUAUAAGAGACUUGCUUACGUGACUUAUGGUUGUUGCCAUCUACCCUGAUUCUUCUCUUUGCCUCACUCUUCUUCAUGGUAGUCGAUAUAAAAUAUAUACUCUCACUAUCGUCAAUCUACUCUACUCGCUAUUCUGCAUUCUUCGUGUAUAAAUCAUAUUCUGUACAAGCUCUUUAAACACAUGCUUUUAAAAUCACUUAUGCUUAAAAUAUAAUGUUAUCCGAGAAAGUCAUUAUUGGGAUAAACAUGCAAUUGUUUCUCAAACAGAUGACGACAUCCAUGAAAGACAAGAAAAAAAUAAACAUGUUACAAAAUGUAUCUCCCACUACAUAAACAUAUUAAAAAAAUUAUAAUUGUAUGUCUGUUGAUCUUUUCACAAAAAAAUCAAAUUAAUUUUUUAGAAGUGUAUUCCAAUCACUUUAUCAAGGAAAAUCAUUAUAUGAGAUUGAGAAAAAUGAGAAUGAAUACAAUUAAUAAUUGUUUGAUCAAACUAAUAAUAUUUAGUGAUAAUUUUAUAAUAUACAAAAGAAGUUGAGCAGAUUCCACCCAAAACGAGACCAUUUUGGUAAAUUUCUUCUCGUGUCAUUCUUUUUUCCGACCCAUGUUCCCCAAAAUCAUACGAGUCAUUCAUUUUCCCCCAAUUACGUUUCAUUUGCAUAAGUCAUCAUUAGGAAAAUUUCAAAUUUAAUUGGCGUUCCUGAGCAUUGUCUCCCUUAUUCUUUUAUCUAAAACCCUUUCAAUCUCACUUCCUGCAAUCAUUCUCAUAGUAAGUACUUUCAUCUUCUUUCAUGUUCUUCCAUAUUCACCAUAUUUCUCCCUUUCAUUUCACGUUUCUCAUGGACAUUUUUCUUUCAUCUGACUGAAACAGUUCCGACACCAUUUCCUUUGUUCUCAGGAGAGAUCAUCCGCAUAAGGGAGAACGAUUCCCACAAGAGAACUCAAUUCUCUCAAUGCUUCUCCGCCGCGGUUUCUCUAAAAUCAUCGCUCACCUAAGUCGAGAUGAUGCAAUCUCCAUCGCCAUGUCAGAUCCCCAAUUGUGGGGUGGAGAGGAUGUUAUCAAAGACUCAAAGUGGAGUCAGUGUUGUGGUAGAGGAUUGGACACAACAGAGUUGGCUGAGAGUCUUGAUGGAGACAGACUCAAACUUGGACCAGUGAUAGAGAGUCUUGCCAGUGAUGACAUCAGGAUCGAUCAACAAUGAGAUGUCUCAAGCAACUCAAGGUUAUGUUGCGUUCUCUUUGUUUUUCCAUGUUCUGUUUGGCUUUGCCCGAAUAGUCGAUUUGAUCUUAUGAUUGUGAUGAUGAAUUGGAUUUCCAGUUUUUAUUGGUUGGAGUGGCGAAGGUUACCUACAAAAGAAACUUCAAUGUUCAAGUCUUUUUUAUAUCGACCAAAGUAACAUAUAUAGAAAGUUUGCAUGGGGAAUGAUUUCAGGACGAUGAGAUUCUCCUAUAUCUCCAACUCAAGAUGAAGCCCGUUAUAGUUGGGCCAACUUGACUCAUAUCGCAAUUUAAUCUUGAAGUCUUGUUUGGGGUGAGCAUGUUAGGACAAGGCUAAAUGGAGACAGAGCUGGUCAGGAAUCCUAUUCAUAAUGUCCAUUUUCUCUGUGCAUCUCACCAGAAGAAUAUUCAUUAAUCAAUACUUUUUCAUAAACGGAAGGUAGAAUCAAUAAUGUUUGGGUGUACACCAAAGUGUUAGGAAGAAAAUGAAGGUAAAUAAUGAGGUUGUCUAAAUGACCCAUGAUAAAGUUUGGGUUAAAUAACUCAUCAUCCAAUCACAUUGGAGAUAAGUGAGUUGAAAAUAAAUUAAUAAAUAAAAUGUAGAAAUUUCAACUCACUUAUCUUUAAUGUGAUUAGAUAAUGAGUUAUUUAACCUAAACUUUAUCAUAAAUCAUUUAAACAACCUAAAUAAUAGAUGUGAAAAUGGUAUAAUGUGAUUGAAAGAGAUAUAUAUUGAAAAAGUGGUAUUUAUAGUUGCAGAUAUUGUUUUGUGAUCUACCAAUCGGGAGUAAAAUCACACUUGGUCAAUGACUCCCAAUUGAACAUUCCCAAACAUGGCAUCCCAUAAAAUUGGAUUCUCCAUCAUCCUUGGAAAAUAUUUUUAAUUCUUAUGAACGAAAUUAAUUUGGUAUAUAUUCAGUGGGCAAAACUGAUAAAAAGAUGGGUAGCAGUAGCAUGAUUGAAUAAUAUUUUUAUUGGCUAUUUUAUUCAACCCAACAAGAAAAAGGGGAUUCCAAGUUUGUUCAUCCAUGUAACCAUAUAUCAAUCAAGCCUUCUAUAUAUACACUUAAAUCCUACAAACAUCAACCAACAAAACAGAGCAAAACAGAGUAGCACCCUGCACCCUUAUUGCCACCAUGGCCUCACUUCAAUGCUACAAAACCUCUGAACAAAGCUUCCAGCAAGGCUCAUAUGGGGGCUACACAGGGCAAAAUGGCUACUCCAGUGGGGGGUAUACAGCUACAGGGCACAAUGGCUAUUCCAAUGGGGGCUACAAAGAGCAACAUGGCUACUCCAGUGGAGGCUACACAGGGCAACAUGGCUACUCAAAUGGAGGAUACACAGGGCAACGUGGCUACUCCAAUGAGGGCUACAAAGGGAACCAUGGCUACUCCAAUGGGGGGUUUAUUGGGGGCUACACAGGGCACAAUAACCACUCCAAUGGAAGCUACACAGAGCACAAUAGCCACUCCAAUGGAAGCUACACAGGGCACAAUGGUUACUCCAAUAUUGAGGGCUACAAAGGGAACCAUGGUGGCUACUCCAAUGAUGGGUACAAAGGGAACAAUGGAAGCUACUCCAAAGAAGACUACAGAGCCGAACGCUAUAGCAAAACAGAGGUGGUUUUGUAGGAAUUACAAAUUAACUGGAUCAAUAUUAGCAAUUAGAACACCAUAAAAAUGAGGAUAAAUUGUGUACCUCUCUCUUGAAGAUAUUUCUUUUGAUUUGCGGAAGCAAGCACAACUGUAUGCGACAGAACAAGAUCUUCCACUUGAUCUCUCGUCUCUUGCAAACUGACCCGUUCGAUGGAGCACAAGCCGUUAAAGAACAUCAGAGUCAAGUGGGGAUCCUGCCCUCUAUUAAUAAAACAUGGAAAACCUAAUGUCCAUCCAUCAUGGAUAUUAGGCCCAUUGGGCCCUACACAAAAGCUUACACACACUUAUCAAUUGGGCUCAACCCAAUAAACUUAUAUCCACAUGGCGAUUCCCGAAAUAACCCACAAGGAUCACAUUAACACAUGGGCUCACAAGGACAAAUAUAUCAGGUAACAUUCAACUCAUUAUAAUCAAAUACAAAACUCAUCAAUCAAUAUAAGCCCAAAUUAGAAUAAAAUUCUAACAUUCUCCCACUUGGGCGAUAUUGAUUGAGUUCUAUUUAUUUUUCAAAUUCUAUUUUAAAAAAAAAACGACUCUUGAGUUGAACAACUGUGGCCACAUAAACAACCUGAUAUAAUCAUCAUAAAAUACAUGACCAUCACAGCCAACAAAAUCAUUAGCUAAGAGCCAUAAGCAAAGAUAAACUAUUCCAAGUUUAGUUCACCUAUAACUACAUAACCAACAAUCUCAUUAACAUGAUCAUAACACAAGUGUGCAGUGUAGGUACACAACAUAGCAUAGUAUGUGAUCAUCAUUUUCAUGCUAUCGUGUAUAGAUCCACAUUGUGUCUUCCCAAGAAAACACAAUCAAUCUCGCCAAGAGAUUACAAACAAGUUUCUCAUGAAACUUCCAUAUAGAAAACCAACAUCUUUCAAAUGUAAAAUCAAAUGUUUUCCACCAAGAAAACAUCAACAUCUCCCCAAGGAGAAAAUAAACAUGUUUCACAUUUCUCAUGAAACAUCAACAUCUCCCCCAAGGAGAAUGUAAACAUGUUUUAUAUUAAACAUCGUUCCUUAAAAAGAACAAAACAUCUUAUGGUUAAAGGCCAAUGUUUUCCCAAGAAAACAUCACAAUUUCCCCCAAGGAGACAAUAAACAUGUUUCUUGCCUUCUAUAUAUACACUUAAAUCCUACAAACAUCAACCAACAAAACAGAGCAAAACAGAGUAGCACCCUGCACCCUUAUUGCCACCAUGGCCUCACUUCAAUGCUACAAAACCUCUGAACAAAGCUUCCAGCAAGGCUCAUAUGGGGGCUACACAGGGCAAAAUGGCUACUCCAGUGGGGGGUAUACAGCUACAGGGCACAAUGGCUAUUCCAAUGGGGGCUACAAAGAGCAACAUGGCUACUCCAGUGGAGGCUACACAGGGCAACAUGGCUACUCAAAUGGAGGAUACACAGGGCAACGUGGCUACUCCAAUGAGGGCUACAAAGGGAACCAUGGCUACUCCAAUGGGGGGUUUAUUGGGGGCUACACAGGGCACAAUAACCACUCCAAUGGAAGCUACACAGAGCACAAUAGCCACUCCAAUGGAAGCUACACAGGGCACAAUGGUUACUCCAAUAUUGAGGGCUACAAAGGGAACCAUGGUGGCUACUCCAAUGAUGGGUACAAAGGGAACAAUGGAAGCUACGCCAAAGAAGACUACAGAGCCGAACGCUAUAGCAAAACAGAGGUGGUUUUGUAGGAAUUACAAAUUAACUGGAUCAAUAUUAGCAAUUAGAACACCAUAAAAAUGAGGAUAAAUUGUGUACCUCUCUCUUGAAGAUAUUUCUUUUGAUUUGCGGAAGCAAGCACAACUGUAUGCGACAGAACAAGAUCUUCCACUUGAUCUCUCGUCUCUUGCAAACUGACCCGUUCGAUGGAGCACAAGCCGUUAAAGAACAUCAGAGUCAAGUGGGGAUCCUGCCCUCUAUUAAUAAAACAUGGAAAACCUAAUGUCCAUCCAUCAUGGAUAUUAGGCCCAUUGGGCCCUACACAAAAGCUUACACACACUUGUCAAUUGGGCUCAACCCAAUAAACUUAUAUCCACAUGGCGAUUCCCGAAAUAACCCACAAGGAUCACAUUAACACAUGGGCUCACAAGGACAAAUAUAUCAGAACUACUGUGACUGAUGAUCAGAUGUACUGCUAAUAAUAAAUGGAGUUCGAGGAUCAGACUUCGCAACUCAGAAUUGUGUGUAUUGUGUGGUGAACUGGUGAUUCAUAUCCAGCAUAAAUAAAUAUAGAAAAAAUAAACUAAUUAAAAGUACCUUCAGAAUAAGAAUCUAUAUAUUCUGAUGAAAAAACCAAUGUACCAGAAACAAAUGCAUGUACUAUGUGAUAUAAACUCGAUCUUCCUGUUAUGAAUAAAACUGUUUGUUGUUAAGACAA